CACUGGUACUGAGACACGGACCAGACUCCUACGGGAGGCAGCAGUGAGGAAUAUUGGUCAAUGGGCGAGAGCCUGAACCAGCCAAGUCGCGUGAGGGACGACGGCCCUACGGGUUGUAAACCUCUUUUGCCGGGGGACAAACGGCGGCACGCGUGCCGUCCUGAGGGUACCCGGAGAAAAAGCAUCGGCUAACUCCGUGCCAGCAGCCGCGGUAAUACGGAGGAUGCGAGCGUUAUCCGGAUUUAUUGGGUUUAAAGGGUGCGUAGGCGGGAUGCCAAGUCAGCGGUCAAAUACGGGGGCUCAACCUGCGUCCGCCGUUGAAACUGGCGUUCUUGAGUGGGCGAGAAGUACGCGGAAUGCGUGGUGUAGCGGUGAAAUGCAUAGAUAUCACGCAGAACCCCGAUUGCGAAGGCAGCGUACCGGCGCCCGACUGACGCUGAAGCACGAAAGCGUGGGUAUCGAACAGGAUUAGAUACCCUGGUAGUCCACGCAGUAAACGAUGAACACUAAUUGUCCGGCGGGAUUAUCCGCUGG
rnacentral:rRNA from 1 species